GACGAACGCUGGCGGCGUGCUUAACACAUGCAAGUCGAACGGUAAGGCCCUUCGGGGUACACGAGUGGCGAACGGGUGAGUAACACGUGGGUGAUCUGCCCUGCACUUCGGGAUAAGCUUGGGAAACUGGGUCUAAUACCGGAUAGGACCACGGUCUGCAUGGAUUGUGGUGGAAAGCUUUUGCGGUGUGGGAUGGGCCCGCGGCCUAUCAGCUUGUUGGUGGGGUGAUGGCCUACCAAGGCGACGACGGGUAGCCGGCCUGAGAGGGUGUCCGGCCACACUGGGACUGAGAUACGGCCCAGACUCCUACGGGAGGCAGCAGUGGGGAAUAUUGCACAAUGGGCGCAAGCCUGAUGCAGCGACGCCGCGUGGGGGGAUGACGGCCUUCGGGUUGGUUAAACCGUACCUUUCUAGCAGGGACGAAGGGUGGACGUGACGGUACCUGUAGAAGAAG
rnacentral:rRNA from 1 species